rnacentral:lncRNA from 13 species
CUAGACGGGGGCUUUUUGCUAGUGUGUCUAGUGGUAGGAGGAAACCAGUUUUCCAGACUCAGUGAUUUUGCCAAGACAUGUUACCGUCACCAUGGAAAGGCCUGUGCUGAAUGAGAACAGUUUCUGAAACCAGUGACAAGCCCCAGAUGAGAAAUUGCCCCAAUUUACUGCAAGUCCAAACAGCUUGGCUCCGAGGAGAGGGCUGGCACCACAUUUGAAGAACAGCUGUGAGAUCAAUUUAGGGUACACAUGAAGAGACAGAGCUUGGAGGAAGAAAAAGUGAGCCUUCAGCCAGCACUGUGGAAGCCAAGCCCAGCAGGAGAGGCCCAGAAGGUCUGGAGCUCAGGCCUGUCCAGUGGCCUGCACGUGGAGCAGCAGGAGGGCCACGCCAUGAUGUCUGGAACAAUGGCAGCCAUCUUGCUACAAGCAAGUAGGUAACAAGCAUGAGGAUGAGAAGACAACCACCCACAG